rnacentral:rRNA from 1 species
UACGGAGGGUGCGAGCGUUAUCCGGAAUUACUGGGUUUAAAGGGUGCGUAGGCGGCUAUGUAAGUCAGGAGUGAAAGUUUGCGGCUCAACCGUAAAAUUGCUUUUGAUACUGCAUGGCUAGAAUCAGGAUGAGGUUAGCGGAAUGUGGCAUGUAGCGGUGAAAUGCAUAGAUAUGCCAUAGAACACCAAUGGCGAAGGCAGCUGGCUAGACCGGCAUUGACGCUGAGGCACGAAAGCGUGGGGAGCGAACAGG